rfam:Tetrahymena thermophila SB210 genomic scaffold scf_8254752, whole genome shotgun sequence.
GAUACCUUGGCUGAGUGGUAAAAGCGGCGGUCUUGAAAUCCGUUUCCUUUGAGGAGUGAGAGUUCGAUUCUCUCAGGUAUCG